rnacentral:rRNA from 1 species
UUUCAUUAAUCAAGAACGAAAGUUAGGGGAUCGAAGACGAUCAGAUACCGUCGUAGUCUUAACCAUAAACGAUGCCGACCAGCGAUUAGGAGACGUUGAAUACAAAACACCACCAUCGGUUGCGGUCGUCCUUGGCGUCUCGGUUUCGGCCGGGGCGCGGGGAUGGCUUAGCCCGGUGGCACCGGUGAAUGACUCCCCUAGCAGCUUGUGAG